GCCUUCUUUCUAUCCGAAUUUCCUUUGGUUAAGGUCGUCGGCGCGCAUUAAAUUAUUAAAACUAAAAUAAAAUGGAACCAAUUACUCUAAUAUUUAAUGUAUGCAAUGCUCAGUAUACGGGCUUGUAUCUUGUAAAAAUGUAUACUCUGAUCAACAUAAUAAAAUGAUACACAUAAAGGACUAACAUGGCAAUUUGAAUAGAACACCAUAUCCACGUGGUGCUAUGUGAGACACCUGGAGACACUUAGAAAUAUUCUAAGGCAUUGAAAGCAGCUUGGGAUGAAACUAGUCAUUCCCUUUAUCCCCUAAAAGGCAUUUUACUAGGCCAAGGAAUACCUAUUUGAAACUGAAACUUGACUGAACCAGUUAAAAGCAAAUCUAAAUUGAUGAUAUUUUCACAAGAUCUACAAGUGAUUCGUUGGGAACAACCAAAAAGCAAAUCUAAAUUGAUGAUAUUUUCACAAGAUCUACAAGUGAUUCGUUGGGAACAACCAAAAAGGUGUUCUACCAGGGAAAGUACUUUUUUAUAUAUAAAAUAAAUUCUUUAUUUAUGUGUACAAAAUAAAAUAUUUCAACUGUCUAAAUUAAA